UAAUCGAAUUAUCUAGUUAAUUUAUAAUUCAAAUUGUAAUAUAUUUAUUCAUUAAUUAUAUUAGCGAUCAAUAUAUAAUACAAAUACUACACUAUAAGUUAUGUUUUAAGAUUAACUAUAGCUACUUACUUUCAUGGAAACUAUCAGAGAGGUAAAAUGUUACUCUAGAUACUUGGCACUGCCCUCAUUGUUUUUCGUAAAAUGAGUUAGUUAGAAAAGUUGCUAGCCAACCUUAAUUUUUAUUUGCAUUUGGCCUUUCUGUCGGAUUAUGAUAAUCCCGCCAUUAAUUGUACCUUAAAUUUAAGUAAAGAGGAUUUAAACAAUCUCGUAAACUUAAACAAUUCCUUCUAAAAACAAAUUCUUACUACCUAUACUCGUAUAAGAUAGGUGAAUAAAUUUGCAGGAGUAAUAAACCUACUUCAUUAAAAAAAAAAGAAAAAACAAUUUGACGCCUUUUAAAAUAAUAAAAUAAAUAUUCUUAGUUUACUAAGCUGUCAAAUAGACUAUAUAAUCAUAAUUAAUAAAAUGUAGAACAGUAAAUUUUGUAAUAGACAACUUAUUUACCAAGCAGUAAUAUCUUCAUUUGCAUGAUGAAUACUUAUGAAAAUUUGAAUACCUCAGCUUAAUUUAUCUAAACUCAUAGAGUAUCAACAAUAUACACAGCCGGGUGAAGUUACGCAUUCAUCGACUAAUUCAUCCUCCCAAUAUUAAAUGCGUUAAAUUGAAGCACAAGUCCAUCACAUCAUAGGACACUAUUUAUGUGCCUAUACAUAUUAAAUAGGUUUGCAGGGCAUCAAACCACGGUAUGUGGUAAUUCACUAGUAUGACAUCGUGUAUAAGAAACAAAUCGAUCGUCAAAAUGACACUUGAUACUACAGGCUUGAAAAAUCUUCGUUAUGGCAACAGUCAACUAGUCUACACAGUAUUGACACUUCUAGUCAUUUUUGGAUUAUACCUGUUAACUAAGAAUUGGAAAGGCUUCACUAGCCCAGAGGAGGUGGACCUAGGAUACUUGCGUAUUUCGACAUAUGCUCACGCUUGUCGAAAACACACUCGUACCCAUAAGCAUGAAUGUUAAUUUGGCAUUAAUGUUGAUUCUAACAUCUAAUGUAAUACACAAAACUUCAAAGUUAUUGCAAAUGAUAAAUGACAAACGACCAUAAUUAACAAUAGAAUUAGAUAUUUUUUACUACUUUUGAAGCACUGUUGCCAAUAUUAUUAUAUAAUUUAUAUUUUCAGUUGCAUUUUAUUUAAUUCGUAAGUAGAAGAAGGUAGAUGACCUUCUACCUGUAUAUUAUUAUUUAAAAAAAAGGUGA